rnacentral:rRNA from 1 species
UAGGGAAUCUUCCACAAUGGACGCAAGUCUGAUGGAGCAACGCCGCGUGAGUGAAGAAGGUUUUCGGAUCGUAAAGCUCUGUUGUUGGUGAAGAAGGAUAGAGGCAGUAACUGGUCUUUAUUUGACGGUAAUCAACCAGAAAGUCACGGCUAACUACGUGCCAGCAGCCGCGGUAAUACGUAGGUGGCAAGCGUUGUCCGGAUUUAUUGGGCGUAAAGCGAGCGCAGGCGGAAUGAUAAGUCUGAUGUGAAAGCCCACGGCUCAACCGUGGAACUGCAUCGGAAACUGUCAUUCUUGAGUGCAGAAGAGGAGAGUGGAAUUCCAUGUGUAGAGGUGGAAUGCGUAGAUAUAUGGAAGAACACCAGUGGCGAAGGCGGCUCUCUGGUGUGCAAAUGACGCUGAGGCUCGAGAGCAUGAGUGGCGAACAGG